ensembl:lncRNA
GAUUUAUAUAGGAACAAAUGGUAUAAUUGCCUAAGCACUUUGUAAAGAGUAGCAUGCUGUCCCGUAACCUAUAUGCCAUGUUAUCAAAUCCAUUAUUUACUGACUAGUACCUAUGUACUUGACAAGGAGGUAUGAAAAGAUAAAAUACAAGGUCUGUUCCCCAAAGUCUUACACGAAAAAAGGUAGUUCACACACAAGUGAAUCACAUAAAUUGCGAGAUCAGUUAUGAAGACAGCAAGAAUCCAACAAAGGGCUUGUACCAAGAGGAGAGGAGGGGCAUGGUUACUUGAGGCUCAGUAUCUUCAUUGGUAAAGCAAGAGUAAUUCCCCUUAUAGGACUACUGUAAUGAGAAUUCGGUAAUUUGUGUAGAAGGCCUCUGUCUCUAGAACUUUUCUGUGCCUAUGAAUCAUCUGGAGAUGUUACUGAAAUGCAGAUUUUGGUCAAGAAGGUCUGGACUUGACAUUCUACAUUUUGAACAAGUUCCUAGAUGACAUCCAUGCUGCCGGCCCACAGUUAUUCUUUGAUUCUUUGCAACCCCAUGGACCGCAGCUCACCAGGCUCCUCUAUCCAUAG